GAUGAACGCUAGCGGCAGGCUUAACACAUGCAAGUCGAGGGGUAGAGUUAGCUUGCUAACUUGAGACCGGCGCACGGGUGCGUAACGCGUAUGCAAUCUACCUUUUACAGAGGGAUAGCCCAGAGAAAUUUGGAUUAAUACCUCAUAGUAUCUUUGCCUGGCAUCAGGUGAUUAUUAAAGUUCCAACGGUAAAAGAUGAGCAUGCGUCCUAUUAGCUAGAUGGUAAGGUAACGGCUUACCAUGGCAACGAUAGGUAGGGGUCCUGAGAGGGAGAUCCCCCACACUGGUACUGAGACACGGACCAGACUCCUACGGGAGGCAGCAGUGAGGAAUAUUGGACAAUGGGCGCAAGCCUGAUCCAGCCAUGCCGCGUGCAGGAAGAAGCAUCUAUGGUGUGUAAACUGCUUUUGCACGGGAAGAAACACUCCCUCGUGAGGGAGCUUGACGGUACCGUAAGAAUAAGGAUCGGCUAACUCCGUGCCAGUCGCCGCAGUAAGAC
rnacentral:rRNA from 1 species